UACAGCCACACCAUGUUGAAACAUUGGUUCCCAUAUGAUCACUAAAGUUAAGCAACAUCAAACCUGGUCAGUACCUAGAUGGGUGACUGCUUGGGAAUACCAGGUUUUGUAAG
rnacentral:rRNA from 1 species